GGCUUAAUGGUCUAGUGGUAUGAUUCUCGCUUUGGGUUUACUUUGACACAUCUGCGAGAGGCCCCGGGUUCGAAUCCCGGUUGAGCCC